CCGGUUCCUGCUGCUGUUUCUCAGCUGGUUGCUCCACACCAGAAGUGCCAGCACCAGCUUUCCCCCAGCUCAGAGCCCAGCGAUCGCUGAGCCUGCGUGCCCUGCCCCUCACAGGCACCGCGGCUCAGUAUUAAAGUAAUUGCAGGCCACAACCAGCCUUUAAAGCUACCCAAAAUGCUGCGAGGUGACACCAAAAGGGACGUGAGCAACCUCAAAGCACGUCAGUGCUGAGCCCUAAGUGCUCAGCAAGUGGAUUUUCACAGCUAUCCCCGCUCUGCUUCAAAUCCCUCUCGGGCCUGAAAAAGAUUUCAGGCAGCAUCUGGUCGUUCGAUGGCAUUUAGAAACCUCCCAGCCUGGGCAGCAAGAGGCAGGGAGAGCUUCUUGCAAGCUCUUUGGUCUGGGUUUUACUGAUGUGUCAUCAGAGGGGUCCCUACAGACAAGUUAGAGUUUUAUUACGUAAGGUUUGCUGUCAGAGAAAAGGAACCUACAGCUGCAAUUUAAUUCACUUCCUGAGUUAAGAAGUUAAGCCUAGGAGGAAACCCACCACAGUAAGCAGGCUUUAGUGUGGCAGAGGUGUCGGUCUGCUACACCUGCUGCUGCCAGCACCACAAAUCCCACGGAAUGGAAACUGGAAAUGGGAAAUCAGGCUUUUGCAAGGCAAAUGGGAACGGCCCCGGCCAGAAGAGGCGCUGACCCAAAACGCUUUCCUGAGGCCGCGCUGCGAGCAGGCCUCGGGGAGGCCUAGCUGGGAAGGACACUUUUCUGUGCCUUGUGCCAACAGCCCUCACCCGGGCACUAACAGGGCGCUUCUCCCUUGAUCAGGGGAAGCAGGGACAAGUCCCCGUUCUGAGGAAAAUUUUUGCUUUGCCCUGCACCCGAUGUCCACCACUCGCUUCAGCCCCCACACGUGUCAGGAGCACGGCUCGCGUUCAGUAUCAUGGCAGACUCCCUGGCGCACCCACAUUUCUUCCUUCACACAAAGCUGCUCUUUCCCGUCUAAUUUGCAGAAUUAACGGUCAUUUUUCAAGCGAGAGGCCUAGGGACCGGUGAAGCCGUCAUCUGCUUCUCUUCUGCUCCUGAAUAGUUUAAAACUUUCCAACGCCAGCCACAUCGGCAAGCAGCAGCGCAGCGGGGAUCGAUCACCCUCGUG
rnacentral:lncRNA from 1 species